GGACGUGCGGGGCUAUAAUGCAGUCGAACGCUUCUUUUUCCACCGGAGCUUGCUCCACCGGAAAAAGAAGAGUGGCGAACGGGUGAGUAACACGUGGGUAACCUGCCCAUCAGAAGGGGAUAACACUUGGAAACAGGUGCUAAUACCGUAUAACAAUCGAAACCGCAUGGUUUUGAUUUGAAAGGCGCUUUCGGGUGUCGCUGAUGGAUGGACCCGCGGUGCAUUAGCUAGUUGGUGAGGUAACGGCUCACCAAGGCCACGAUGCAUAGCCGACCUGAGAGGGUGAUCGGCCACAUUGGGACUGAGACACGGCCCAAACUCCUACGGGAGGCAGCAGUAGGGAAUCUUCGGCAAUGGACGAAAGUCUGACCGAGCAACGCCGCGUGAGUGAAGAAGGUUUUCGGAUCGUAAAACUCUGUUGUUAGAGAAGAACAAGGAUGAGAGUAACUGUUCAUCCCUUGACGGUAUCUAACCAGAAAGCCACGGCUAACUACGUGCCAGCAGCCGCGGUAAUACGUAGGUGGCAAGCGUUGUCCGGAUUUAUUGGGCGUAAAGCGAGCGCAGGCGGUUUCUUAAGUCUGAUGUGAAAGCCCCCGGCUCAACCGGGGAGGGUCAUUGGAAACUGGGAGACUUGAGUGCAGAAGAGGAGAGUGGAAUUCCAUGUGUAGCGGUGAAAUGCGUAGAUAUAUGGAGGAACACCAGUGGCGAAGGCGGCUCUCUGGUCUGUAACUGACGCUGAGGCUCGAAAGCGUGGGGAGCAAACAGGAUUAGAUACCCUGGUAGUCCACGCCGUAAACGAUGAGUGCUAAGUGUUGGAGGGUUUCCGCCCUUCAGUGCUGCAGCUAACGCAUUAAGCACUCCGCCUGGGGAGUACGACCGCAAGGUUGAAACUCAAAGGAAUUGACGGGGGCCCGCACAAGCGGUGGAGCAUGUGGUUUAAUUCGAAGCAACGCGAAGAACCUUACCAGGUCUUGACAUCCUUUGACCACUCUAGAGAUAGAGCUUCCCCUUCGGGGGCAAAGUGACAGGUGGUGCAUGGUUGUCGUCAG
rnacentral:rRNA from 1 species